rfam:Capsicum annuum cultivar Zunla-1 unplaced genomic scaffold scaffold16, whole genome shotgun sequence
ACCCAGAAGGCUAGUUGGUAGAGCAAUUAGUUUAUAUGAAUAAAGGUAGGUUCGAAUCAUACUUUGGGUU